CUCCCAGCGGUCUCCUGCGGGCUCCGGCCGCCGCCGCCGGGACGCGCGCGCAGGGGGCUGCGUGCUCCGGUGGCCGCCGCCUGGACGCUCGCGCAGGGGGCUGCGGGCUCCGGCCGCAGCCGUCGGGACGCGCGCAGGGGGCUGCGGGCUCAGCCUCCGCCGCCGUCACACGCGCCAGGGGGCUGCGGGCUCAGCCGCCGCCGCCGUCACGCGCGCCGACGUAGGGCUCGGGCGCCGCCGCCGGGACGCGCGCCGGCUGCGGCCUCCGGCAGGUGCGGAUCCGCCGGCCGGUCUCGCCGCCAGCAGGGGCGAGAUAAGGGGCCUCCGCCGCCGCUGCUGGGGCGGCUCCAGGGCCUCCGCGGGCGGGCGCACUGCGGAGCGGGAGUUCGGGACUGGCGUCCGCCGUGCAUCGCGCCCUGCGCGUGCGUGACCCGCGGCCUCCCCGCUGUUAGGGUUCGUGAAAGGGGGGGUUCCACGGCCGGCGUGCGCGGCCACCGCAGUCUGCGCCCGACUUCGACCACCGCCCGCCGACGGCGUCCCGGACGACUUCGUGGAGUUGUUCGAUUUCAACGGUUGCAACGAAAAGUUUGUUUUGCUGCUCGCGACUGACCCAAGGAGGCGAUGGCGGUGGUGUCGAGCACUCGAGCAUCGGGAUCAUGGACGGCGCCUACUUCGUGGGGAGGGGCGAAAUCCUGCACUGGAUCAAUGCCACCCUCCAGCUCUCCCUCGCCAAGGUCGAGGAGGCUGCGUCGGGGGCGGUGCAGUGCCAGCUGAUGGAUAUGGUUCAUCCCGGAGUGGUGCGGAUGCAUAAGGUUAACUUUGAUGCAAAGACCGAAUAUGACAUGAUCCAGAACUACAAGAUUCUUCAGGAUGUGUUCAACAAGCUGUGCAUAAUCAUGGAAACCCGUCGAGGGCUCUAUCCUGUUGAUGCAGUGAGUACUGUGGGCAGAAUAUGUGCAGAAGCUAGACUGUAUAACCAGCCACUUAAAUUCAAGAAAGUAAUGUGGUGCGUUGGUCACCCGAUGAUGCCCCAUGAGGAAUCUGUGUCUUCAGCAGCGGUUGGUUCUGCUAUUAAAGUAAAAGCUGCUGCAAUUGUUGUGUUCGCAUUCUCAGGGAGAGCUGUUAGUUUGAUGUGCUUAACACGGGAAGAGGAUCAUUUGAAGAAAAAAAAUCCAUGAGCUACAGGCAAAGAAUGAAGUCAUGUUGUUAUUGGAUCACUGGAAACAAGCUGAUUUGAUCUGUUGGUCAUUCUUAAAGCAGCACAAUGAUGAAGUGGCAUGAUUAAGUUGAAAAGAAGGCAGGUAGAAGUAGAAAGUGAGCUAAAGGAAAUGCAGGGUAGGAGGUACUCAGAACUCAGCAUGCAGUUUGCCGAAGUGGAGGGAGAAAGGCAUAAGCUGAAAAUGGGAGUAAAUUUUGUAGGUUGCUUUCAUUGGGUUUCAUUCAUUAGUUUCUAAAAGCAUCAAGAAAACUUUGCAAGUCCACAUAAGAUUUUUGAUUAGGUGGCAGAGAGAGAGAGAGAGGGAGUGGGGAGAGAGAACAAGAUAUGGGAUUGCAUAUUAGCCUAUCCUGUCCUGAACUCCUAAUGCCAAUUUCAAGCUCCGAUUAGUUUGCAAAAAUUAUGGGAAACGACAGCCUUGAGCCUGUCGUUCUUAGAUGGUUUAUGGUCUUUGUCUAGCAUUUCUUAAGAUGAUCCAUCAAAAUUCAAUGUAUGAUCCCAUAAAGUUAUGAUUUUACUCUAUAUAUGUGGUUGUGUGAUCAACAAAAUAACUUUAUCUUUUGUGUGAAUUAAAUAUUUUUCAAUUUGAA